rnacentral:rRNA from 1 species
UCCUACGGGAGGCAGCAGUGGGGAAUUUUGGACAAUGGGGGCAACCCUGAUCCAGCCAUUCCGCGUGAGUGAAGAAGGCCUUCGGGUUGUAAAGCUCUUUCGGCAGGAACGAAACGGCGAGCUCUAACAUAGCUCGCUAAUGACGGUA